UUACGAGGUCAGGACACUGUGAGGAUUGACAGAUUGAAAGCUCUUUCUUGAUUCAGUGGGUGGUGGUGCAUGGCCGUUCCUAGUUGGUGGAGUGAUUUGUCUGGUUAAUUCCGUUAACGAACGAGACCUUAACCUGCUAAAUAGUCACGCGAACCGGUCCGCAAGGGCUCAAAGUUCGCGGCUCGACUUCUUAGAGGGACUAUUCGCACCCGCCAGCGAAUGGAAGUUUGAGGCAAUAACAGGUCUGUGAUGCCCUUAGAUGUUCUCGGCCGCACGCGCGUUACACUGACGGAGUCAACGAGCGUUUUUCCUUGCCCGAUAGGGUUGGGUAACCUCCUGAAACUCCGUCGUGAUGGGGAUAGAUCAUUGCAAUUAUUGAUCUUGAACGAGGAAUUCCUAGUAGGCGCGAGUCAUCAACUCGCGCCGAUUACGUCCCUGCCCUUUGUACACACCGCCCGUCGCUCCUACCGAUUGAACGGUCCGGCGAGAACUCCGGAUGGUC
rnacentral:rRNA from 1 species